rnacentral:rRNA from 1 species
AUUGAACGCUGGCGGCAGGCCUAACACAUGCAAGUCGAACGAGUGGCGGACGUGUGCGUAAUGUCUGGGAAACUGCCUGAUGGAGGGGGAUAACUAAUGGAAACGGUAGCUAAUAUCGCAUCCCAUCAGAUGUGCCCAGAUGGGAUUAGCUAGUUGGUGGGGUAACGGCUCACUAGGGCGACGAUCCCUAGCUGGUCUGAUAGGAUGACCAGCCAAACUGGAACUGAGCCACGGUCCAGACUCCUACGUGAGGCAGCAGUGGGGAAUAGUGCACAAUGGGCGCAAGCCUGAUGCAGCCAUGCCGCGUGUAUGAAGAAGGCCUUCGGGUUGUAAAGUACUUUCAGCGGGGAGGCGUUACCCGCAGAAGAAGCACCAGCUAACUCCGUGCCAGCAGCCGCGGUAAUAC